GAUGAACGCUGGCGGCGUGCUUAACACGUGCAAGUCGAGCGAAGCACUUAAGUUCGAUUCUUCGGAUGAAGACUUUUGUGACUGAGCGGCGGACGGGUGAGUAACGCGUGGGUAACCUGCCUCAUACAGGGGGAUAACAGUUAGCAAUGGCUGCUAAUACCGCAUAAGACCACAGUACUGCAUGGUACAGUGGUAAAAACUCCGGUGGUAUGAGAUGGACCCGCGUCUGAUUAGGUAGUUGGUGAGGUAACGGCCCACCAAGCCGACGAUCAGUAGCCGACCUGAGAGGGUGACCGGCCACAUUGGGACUGAGACACGGCCCAGACUCCUACGGGAGGCAGCAGUGGGGAAUAUUGCACAAUGGGCGAAAGCCUGAUGCAGCGACGCCGCGUGAAGGAUGAAGUAUUUCGGUAUGUAAACUUCUAUCAGCAGGGAAGAAAAUGACGGUACCUGACUAAGAAGCCCCGGCUAACUACGUGCCAGCAGCCGCCGUAA
rnacentral:rRNA from 1 species